GACAAACAUGUGCUGGCAGUGGUAACAAUAGACAAGAUGUUGGAAAAACUGAGGAAGUGCAAUGAAUUUCUGGAGAUAAUUCUCAAGGGACUUAACGAAUACCUAGAGAAGAAGCGCCUGUUUUUCCCAAGAUUCUUUUUUUUAUCUAAUGAUGAACUCCUUGAGAUUCUUUCAGAGACCAAAGAUCCUACCCGGUCAUUCAGAAUGCAAUUGAAGCUUAUCCCAAAACUCCAUGUGUUGACUGGGUACGAGAGUGGCCUGGACAAACUGUUCUUUGCGUAUCCCAAACUUUCUGGACGAUGCAGGUAGAGAAGCCUAUUAGAAAUGGCCAGAAGUAGUAAUGGAGAUCCUCAGUUCUCUCGGGAAAGAAGGAAAGCUUCUGCAUACUGCACCAUUUAUCUUCUCUUGGUGAAAGUCUUUCAGGAAGGAGAAACAGAAAUUCUAACCUUAGAGAUUUUAAAUCCAGCAUAAAAUCCAGAGACUUCAAAUCCAGCAUCGUCUUAAUGAGGUUGUUAGUGAAUAAAGGAAGGACAUCUUCAAACAAGAAUGAUCAAUGCUGGACUGAGAUAUGGAUAUGAAUAUCUUGGCAAUACACCUAGGCUGAUUAUUACUCCACUUACAGACAGGUU